GCCAUGGGUUUACUCCUUGGUUCAUAGCAUUCAAGUUCAAGGUUGCUUCAACUUCAGAUUGGCCUCCGGACAGAAACUUUUUGCCAAAGAAAAAGAAAAGUCACAAGGAAACUCUCAACAAUUGAAAUAUGUAGACAGCAUUGCUCCUGAGAUGUACUGGCCCAAACUCGGAACAGAGACAAGGAGUGUUCUGUAAGCUUGAUGGUUGGCCUCAGUGUUUUCAAGGCUUAUGGAGGCUAAUCUCUUUCCACAAGUUGCAUUAGAUUCAUCCAUGGCCAGUAUACCUCUACCUGGUGAUGCGACGCUUUUCUGCAAAAACAACAUGACAGUUAGGAGUCUGUUUUUGUGGCACAAAAUGAUAAACCAAUAUAGAAACUUUAAUAGGUGGGUGUGUUAUGGCGAGCCAUAACUAAGGCAGUUGUUACUUCAACAGAGCUUGUAGACUUAUAUGGUCCUCAAGGAACUAAUUGUUAUGAAUUUGAUUAGUUCUGUAACUUGUUAGUGUUUGAGAAGAUAUUUGAUUACAGGAGAUGGCAGAGUAAGUGGUUACAGAAGUGCUUUUAAGAUUGCCCAUAGGGUGUAACUUUAGCUCAUAUUAGCUGAAAGUUACUGAUUCUUAUAAGAGGAGCAAAAAAUUUAUCCAAGAUAGAUAGCUAGUGAUAAAAAGCAGGAGUAUACCGCUGUUUUGAUAAGCUCAUCCGAGUAAGCACCAGCAUGGACAGUGAAGGACACAGAGGUUGGCUGCUGCAAGUGAGAUGUUGACUGAUGUGAGUUGGCUGCAAACCAUUCUGAUCUUUUGGGAAGGAAUGAAGUCCUGAGAAUUGUAGCAGAGGCCAUUGUAGAAGAUGAAGAUUGAGGGCUUCUUCUCUACACUCUUAAAAUGUAGUUUCAAAGUGGCCUUACAGGCUGAGGUUACAUAUUUAAGGGUAAGGGGAGAUAGUGUAUUUGAGGUGGAUAUUAUUAGUUGGUUUUUGAAUGGUCAAGAUGAGUCAGAGUGAAAAGUGAUUUUGUCUGCUGCUGCUUAUAUAACUGCCUUUAUGAUUUUCCAGUUGUAGAUACAGACAGUAGACCUUUUGGUUUGAGAAAA